UGGGGAAUAUUGGGCAAUGGGCGCAAGCCUGACCCAGCAACGCCGCGUGAAGGAAGAAGGCUUUCGGGUUGUAAACUUCUUUUAUCAGGGACGAUAAUGACGGUACCUGAUGAAUAAGCUCCGGCUAACUACGUGCCAGCAGCCGCGGUAAUACGUAGGGAGCAAGCGUUAUCCGGAUUUACUGGGUGUAAAGGGCGUGUAGGCGGGACUGCAAGUCAGAUGUGAAAACUAUGGGCUUAACCCAUAGCCUGCAUUUGAAACUGUAGUUCUUGAGUGGUGGAGAGGCAAAUGGAAUUCCUAGUGUAGCGGUGAAAUGCGUAGAUAUUAGGAAGAACACCAGUGGCGAAGGCGAUUUGCUGGACACUAACUGACGCUGAGGCGCGAAAGCGUGGGGAGCAAACAGGAUUAGAUACCCUGGUAGU
rnacentral:rRNA from 1 species